rnacentral:lncRNA from 1 species
AAAAUCAUUUUUAUAAUAUAAAAUUCUAAAGUAUAAUAAGAUUAGAAUUCGAUAUGGGAUAACCAAUAAAAUCUUAAGUUCUUUGCUAAGCACUUUAGCUCUCACGUUGUGCAAUUAGAAAAGAUUAUUACUGCUGUAAAUAACACCUUAAGAAAUUAUCUUUAAGAUAUUCAUUAACAAUUUUUAGAAAAAUAAAAAGAAUUAGUUUAUUUAAUGAAAGUUGAAAAUUUUCAAAUAUGUUUUAAAUGCUAUUUAUGUAUGAAAUAAGGGAGCAAGGUAUAGCCCUAUUACCCAACCCUAACUAUCUUUUUAUUUGUUUGCGGCAAAGAUAAGGUAAAAAAAAUUGAUAAAAGAAAGACAAAAUAAUAAUUUUGAAAGAAAAAAAAUUAAAAUAAUAAUUAAAUGUGAUUAAUUAUUAUAUAAUAAGAGAAAUAAAAAAUUUUUGAAUAAAAUCAUGAUCUCAGCCUGUCUCCUCUAGCUUUGUCCCUAGUUUGCGACUUACAAAAUGUUUCCAUAAAGAGUACGUGAUAAUUAAGGACGACGAUGGAUCUAAGAUAAC